rnacentral:piRNA from 1 species
UAGGGAAAGAAUUGGUAUUUCUCUCUCUGC